GAAUAUGCUAACAGACACUCUAGGAUGCUGAGAGAAACGAUGAAGCAUUUCCAAGACCCUUGUACUCUUGAGCUGGUCUCUUCUGGGGUGUUCUGUAGGACUGGCUCUGUAUAAUAUGCCUGCCUCAGUGUUGGCAUCUGGAAGUCAUACAUUCAUGUAAGAAACAAAUUCUAAACUAGGCACAAGGCUCCAGGACCGUAAACUUGCAGGACAAGGAAGUAGCUACUAGUUCUCCAUCCUGAAGACCAUCCACAGAAACCACGUGCUGGAAUAUUUGAAUGACUAUUCCAAACUGUCCUUGAAUGGCUGUAUUUAUUUCUGAAUCCUUAUGCACAAAAGCAGCUGUAGAUAAUAAUUUGUAAGCAAAUGGGCCUACAACAUUACAAAUUGUGGUAGCCCUGCUGUCUUCACAGAAGAAUUCCAAC